AGGAGGAUGGCAAGAAAUCCUGGAAACAGCGCUACUUCCUGUUGCGAGCCUCUGGAUUGUAUUACUCACCCAAAGGCAAGACAAAGGCAUCACGGGAUCUUGUGUGUUUGGUGCAGUUUGACAAUGUGAACGUCUACUACUGCAAAGAAUAUAGGAACAAAUACAAAGCACCAACAGACCACUGCUUCAUUCUCAAGCAUCCUCAGAUUCAAAAAGAAUCACAGUACAUCAAGUAUCUGUGUUGUGAUGAUGAGUUGACCAUGACUCUGUGGGUGACUGGGAUACGUAUUGCAAAGGUGAGCAGAAACCAAGCCACACACCAUACAUUUUUUGCCAAAACAUUUAUAAAGUAGAAAAUGAUUGUAUGAUAAACACAA